GCAGUAGCCGCGGUAAUACGUAGGUGGCAAGCGUUGUCCGGAAUUAUUGGGCGUAAAGGGCUCGCAGGCGGUUUCUUAAGUCUGAUGUGAAAGCCCCCGGCUCAACCGGGGAGGGUCAUUGGAAACUGGGAAACUUGAGUGCAGAAGAGGAGAGUGAAAUUCCACGUGUAGCGGUGAAAUGCGUAGAGAUGUGGAGGAACACCAGUGGCGAAGGCGACUCUCUGGUCUGUAACUGACGCUGAGGAGCGAAAGCGUGGGGAGCGAACAGGAUUAGAUACCCCCGUAGUCCCUGUCUCUAUACC
rnacentral:rRNA from 1 species